UACGUAGGCAGCGAGCGUUGUUCGGAGUUACUGGGCGUAAAGAGUAUGUAGGCGGUUCUGCAAGUUUGGUGUGAAAUCUCCCGGCUCAACUGGGAGGGUGCGCCGAAAACUGCAGGGCUAGAGUGCGGGAGAGGAAAGCGGAAUUCCUGGUGUAGCGGUGAAAUGCGUAGAUAUCAGGAGGAACACCUGCGGUGUAGACGGCUUUCUGGACCGUAACUGACGCUGAGAUACGAAAGCGUGGGUAGCAAACAGG
rnacentral:rRNA from 1 species